ACAGGGCCAAGGAUACAACUCAGAGUGGGCCAGAGGAAUUUUGUCUUAUUUCGUCAGAUGCGAAGUUGAUUCAGAUUACCAGGUCUCAGGAGAAUGUAAAAGGACAGGAGUAAAAAAUGCAAGCCAGUGUAGAAGAAAAUUGAAGAUACUCACGGGUUUCAGUAACUUAAGCAGGGGAAAAAAGGCAUCCCUACACUCACUCAGAAUAUGCAGUCUCGAAUCAAGGUGCAUCAAAUAUCAUUCCACCAUAGCAUCAAUUUUGGAUUAAAGACCUCAUAGAAAUGGACUAUUCUCUGCAGAUUCCA
rnacentral:lncRNA from 1 species